GUCUGCUGCACCUUCUGUGCUGUGCGUGGUCCAUGCACCAAGGCUGGAGGUGCAAAGGGGACAGGUCCCGGAGGCUCUGGAAGGGCAGAGAAGCCAGGCGUGGAAGGGUAGGGAGAGCCCUCGGGGCCUCUGGCCUCUCCCACAGAGACGGCAUGAAGGAAGGCCUGGGCGUGAGAACAGAUGUGGGGGACACAGAGGCGGAGGCCACGUGGCAGGAGGGGAAACAGGCUGGUGGAACAGGGUGCACGGGGCCUGGGGAGGGAUUUGGAUCUCAUUCUUUCUGGGGUGUGGGGAGUGAUCCUGGCUACUCUGGGCACCACAGAGGCAGGAGCCAGUACAGGCCAUCGCGUGAGGGCAGGCAGCCCAGUCACCGUCCUCUUGCUCCAGGCCAUCAUGUGAGAGCAGGUGGCCCAGUCACUGUCCUCCUGCUCCAGGCCCUGCAGCCGGCAGCACCUCUCCGCAGCCCACCACACGCAGCACCAGGAGGCUGUGAAUCUCCCCACUCUGUAGGAACAGCUGCCGCUUCCCGGGUCCCCAUUCCCCAACGGAACGUGUUCCAUGACAUCUGUGCAGCAUCCGCUGUGUGCCAGGCACAGUUCUAGGCCCUGGAGACAAAGCGGGAACAGCACAGACAGGAACCUCCACUCUUACAGUGAGGAGAGAAAGAGGAGUGAGGCUUGGGGAGGUUGGGCAGGACAGCUGCAGGGAGAGGGAGGGCAGAGGACGGGCGAGUCGGGGAGUACCAAGGAAGGCCUCAGCAAAGCAGCAUGGAAAUAAGACCUGAAAGCACGGAAGGGCCCUCCGGGAGGCGGGUAUGCAGGCGCAGAGGCCCUGGGGCCGAGAGCUCUGUGUGGAGACCAGCGUGAUGGGCUGGGGCAGCUGGGCCCAAAGACAGAUUCACAGACGCCUUCCAUCGCCGCUGCCGUAGUCAUGACCUGCGGCGUAGCCUCCUCCCAAGGCUGGAGCCCUUCCCCUGAGCUGGCCGUGGCCAGGAGCUCCCACCGGGGCAGGGCGCUAAGGCCCAGCACUCCGCCUGGCUGCUGUGGGGCUGCUGCCGGGGCCGGUGCUGACGCUGUCUGUGCCCCUGCCCGUCUCCCACCAGGUUCCGGGUAAAUAUACGGUCGUGGCGGACCACGAGAAGGGAGGCCCCGAUGCGCUGCUCGUGAGGAGCGGGGACGUGGUGGAGCUGGUGCAGGAGGGCGACGAGGGCCUUUGGUAAGACCCCGCGCUCACCCCCGGACUGCCCCGCACGUGGCUGCCGCUGACCCUCGCCCCUUGCAGGUACGUCAGGGACCCGACCACUGGCAAGGAGGGCUGGGUGCCGGCCAGCAGCCUGUCCGUCCAGCUCGGCCCGUCCGGCUCGGCCCAGUGCCUGAGCAGCUCAGAGUCGAGCCCGGGGUCGGCCGUGCUGAGCAACUCGUCCAGCUGCAGCGAGGGCGGCCAGGCCCCCUUCUCCGACCUGCAGGGGUAGCGCCGCGCAGUCUCGGCGCCGGAGACCCGCGCGCUGUCUGGGGCUGCCGCUGCGAGGGCUGGUGUGGCGUGGGGAGGGCGCAGUGCCCCCGGACGCCCCGAGGAAGGGGCACCUCACCGCCCCGACCCAGAGCGCCUGGCCGUGCGGGCUGCAGAGGACCCCUCCAGGGCAGAGGCAGGUUCCACGGAAGACCCCGGCCCGCUGGGGCUUCCCCGGAGACUCCAGAGCCCACAGAGGAGGGGCCGCAGGGAACAGCCCCGGGCAGGAGGCGCCGGGCAGCGGCAUCUCCUCCUGGCUCCACUGUGCUGCUUCUGCCUCUGGACGGUGCUUUCAGGGGACGCGCGGACCGUGGUGGAGCUGCUUCCGGAGAAGUGGAGGAUCCUCUGGCCAACGGCCUGAGGAGAGCGGGGCACGGGGUCUCUUUAUCUUUUACAAGUUUUAGGAUUUUUUUAAGCAGGGAUCAAUCCCGUGGCCAUUUUUUGUGGUACUUUGGCCUCAAUUCUUUACCAGGAAUCACUGUGUUUACAUGAAAUGACAAUUUGAUACUGUAUUUGAUAGAAAACUAUUUUUUUGUUACCGGGGUUUACAUAGAAGCACGUUGUUUAUACCACUAAAUGACUUUGGGGGGGCUCUCCCAUGGAAACGGAUGGCACUCCCUGAAGCUCCCUGGUCACAGGUGGAUGAAAACGUGUCCGUGGGUGACAUCAGGUGGUGUCUCCACCACCAAAAGCAGUUAGAAGCCAAGGAGAUUCCUUUAUCUACCUAGGGUUCAUUUUCAAAAGAAAAUUUAAACUAUAAUUUAAACAAUUAACGUUCUUUUCUACAAAAAAAAUGCAGGGACUUGAUUUUUUUUAAAGAGCUUCACUGAAUUAGGAUAUUUUUAUUGCUUUUAAAGAAAAUACAAAGAUGCAGUUUCUGCAGGGUGUGGCGUGGACCAGUGCUGCCGACCAUAGCUCAGAGAGCCCUGCCCCUGCCUCACUGCACUGCAGCCUCCUCGGAGGCCGCACCUCCACUCCACUCCCCACGCGCCCCCUGCCUCCCACCCAGGUCCACCUGCCACCUGGUGACCACCUUGAGUACAGAAGUGAAAGUGGGGAGAGUAUUUUAUUCAAGUCACAGCAGAACUGGAAAAAAACUCUUCUGUUUUACCAACUUCUUGUGUUUCAGAAACAUAUUCUGUUCAAAACUUUUGAAGCCCUUUCGGCGUCUAGUCUGCAGAUGUUUUUGUAUGUGUGCACCUCUGACCAUGUGUGUACAUAUGUGUCUUGCUGGAAAGGACAUAUUCGCUGUCCCCGUGCUGCUGGGAGGGCCGCCUCACAGCCUCAUGGUUCCCAGCCCCAGCACAGUGGAGGCAGGCGUGGCUGCAUUCCCCUCACGCUACCCUCCCAGCGGCUUGUAGCCGUCACUGGCCAGACCUCCAGGAUGCGGAAUCAAAUAGGAAGCAUGCAGAGACUCGGCAGUUUUUCCUCUGAUGUGUAAGUUAUUUGGAAUGCGUGCUGUGCCCUGCGAUGUCCCUGAUGUACUGUGCAGGCGCGGUGCCUCCGUCUCGUCGCACAGCUGCGCGCCCUUGUGUGACCCUCCCCAUAAAGGCACUUUACAGCUUCAUGUUUCAUCCACUGUCACUUUUUUUUAACUGCUGAUGUAAAUGGAAUUUUAAAAGCAGAGUUCUUUAUUGUAUGGAUGACGUUUGAAUAAAUAUCAGCAACUCCU
rnacentral:sRNA from 1 species